CAGCAGUGAGGUAAGGUGGGUAUGUUAAUAGCAUACUCAUUUUGACGUUAGCUGCAGAAGAAGCACCGGCUAACUCCGUGCCAGCAGCCGCGGUAAUACGGAGGGUGCGAGCGUUAAUCGGAAUUACUGGGCGUAAAGCGCAUGCAGGUGGUUUGUUAAGUCAGAUGUGAAAGCCCCGGGGCUCAACCUCGGAAUUGCAUUUGAAACUGGCAAACUAGAGUACUGUAGAGGGGGGUAGAAUUUCAGGUGUAGCGGUGAAAUGCGUAGAGAUCUGAAGGAAUACCGGUGGCGAAGGCGGCCCCCCUGGACAGAUACUGACACUCAGAUGCGAAAGCGUGGGGAGCAAACAGGAUUAGAUACCCUGGUAG
rnacentral:rRNA from 1 species